rnacentral:rRNA from 1 species
AAUCAACGCUGGCGGCGUGCCUAACACAUGCAAGUCGCACGAGAAAGGGGCUUCGGCCCUGAGUAAAGUGGCGCACGGGUGAGUAACACGUGAAUCAUCUACCUCCGAAUGGGGAAUAACUGAGAGAAAUCUUAGCUAAUACCGCAUAAUACCUACGGGUCAAAGCAGCAAUGCGUUUGGAGAGGAGUUCGCGGUCGAUUAGUUAGUUGGCGGGGUAAUGGCCCACCAAGACGAUGAUCGAUAUCCGGCCUGAGAGGGCGCACGGACACACUGGAACUGAAACACGGUCCAGACUCCUACGGGAGGCAGCAGUGGGGAAUUUUGCGCAAUGGGGGAAACCCUGACGCAGCAACGCCGCGUGGAGGAUGAAAUAUCUUGGUAUGUAAACUCCUUUCGAUGGGGAAGAUAAUGACGGUACCCAUAGAAGAAGCCCCGGCUAACUUCGUGCCAGCCGCCGCCGUAAU